GACGAACGCUGGCGGCGUGCCUAAUACAUGCAAGUAGAACGCACAGUAUAUACCGUACCUUGCUACACCAUAGACUGUGAGUUGCGAACGGGUGAGUAACGCGUAGGUAACCUGCCUGGUAGCGGGGGAUAACUAUUGGAAACGAUAGCUAAUACCGCAUAAUAUUAAUUAUUGCAUGAUAAUUGAUUGAAAGAUGCAACUGCAUCACUACCAGAUGGACCUGCGUUGUAUUAGCUAGUACGUGAGGUAACGGCUCACCUAGGCGACGAUACAUAGCCGACCUGAGAGGGUGAUCGGCCUCACUGGGACUGAAACACGGCCCAGACUCCUACGGGAGGCAGCAGUAGGGAAUCUU
rnacentral:rRNA from 1 species